GACGAACGCUGGCGGCGUGCUUAACACAUGCAAGUCGAACGGAAAGGCCCUGCUUUUGUGGGGUGCUCGAGUGGCGAACGGGUGAGUAACACGUGAGUAACCUGCCCUUGACUUUGGGAUAACUUCAGGAAACUGGGGCUAAUACCGGAUAGGAGCUCCUGCUGCAUGGUGGGGGUUGGAAAGUUUCGGCGGUUGGGGAUGGACUCGCGGCUUAUCAGCUUGUUGGUGGGGUAGUGGCUUACCAAGGCUUUGACGGGUAGCCGGCCUGAGAGGGUGAACGGCCACAAUGGGACUGAGAUACGGCCCAGAAGCCUACGGGAGGCAGCAGUGGAGAAUAUUGCACAAUGGGCGGAAGCCAGAUGCAGCAACGCCGCGUGCGGGAUGACGGCCUUCGGGUUGUAAACCGCUGUCGCCUGUGACGAAGCGUGAGUGACGGCAAUGGGUAAAGAAGCACCGGCUAACUACGUG
rnacentral:rRNA from 1 species